CCUACCGGUGGCUGCAGUGGGGAAUAUUGGACAAUGGGCGAAAGCCUGAUCCAGCCAUGCCGCGUGUGUGAAGAAGGCCUUCGGGUUGUAAAGCACUUUCAGUGGGGAAGAAAGCCUUGGGGCUAAUACCCUCGAGGAAGGACAUCACCCACAGAAGAAGCACCGGCUAACUCCGUGCCAGCAGCCGCGGUAAUACGGAGGGUGCGAGCGUUAAUCGGAAUUACUGGGCGUAAAGCGCGCGUAGGCGGUCUGAUAAGCCGGUUGUGAAAGCCCCGGGCUCAACCUGGGAACGGCAUCCGGAACUGUCAGGCUAGAGUGCAGGAGAGGAAGGUAGAAUUCCCGGUGUAGCGGUGAAAUGCGUAGAGAUCGGGAGGAAUACCAGUGGCGAAGGCGGCCUUCUGGACUGACACUGACGCUGAGGUGCGAAAGCGUGGGUAGCAAACAGGAUUAGAUACCCGAGUAGUC
rnacentral:rRNA from 1 species